AGAAACGGGUUGGGGCUGGGGUGUGGCUUGGUGGUAGAGCGCUUGGCUGGCAUUCGGGAAUCCUUGGGCUCAUUCCCCGCACCACAAAAAAUUAUAAUUUAAAAAAAGGGGGGCUGGGGGGUGCAGCUCGGAGAUAUAGCACUUGCCUAGCAAAUGCAAGGCCUUGGGUUCAACCCCCAGCUCUGCACUAAAUAAAUAAAUAAACAAAUAAAAGAAACGGGAAAGGAAGAAACGUGACCACACCCAGUGAAAGGAGGUCACCCAGCUAUUUCUGUUCUAACCCUGUGGGAAUUUAUGCCAAGGAAAAGGCGUCAAAUAGAUACAAAAAGCCAGGGCCAUUAAAAUAUGCCUGGUGGCUUUAUUGUCAAUGAAAAACAAAAUAAGACUAUAGCCUAAACACUUGCUAAGGAAAGAAUUUUCCAAAAAUAUGGUAAAAACAUACAAAGAAGUAGUGUAAAGCCACCAAAAUGACCUUAAAAGUAAGGAUAACUUUGAAGAUAAUGUUGACUUAAUAGUGUUAAGUAGGGCUGGGGCUGGGGCUCAGUGGCAGAGUGCUUGCCUCGCACGUGUGGGGCACUGGGUUGAUCCUCAGCACCACAUAAAAAUAAAUAAAUAAAAUAAAGGUAUGUGUCCUUCUACAACUAAAAAUAUUUUUUAAAUAGUGAUAAGGAAAUAUAAAUUGUAAAAUUAAGUUUAGAAAUGGCAGCUAGGUACAGAUCUGUCUGCUCUAAGCUGAGUGGUCAGCUCAGGAUCCCAUCCAGAUGCAGAUAGGACAGUGGCACUUGCUCUAGGAGCUGGUGAAUACCCAAUUUUUUUCCCCCAUCUUUUCUUUCUCGUCACGACACCAUCUUUUUAAUAAUACUGGAUAAAUAUUUUUAAACAAUGAGUCCAUGGAUGGACCAUCUGUUCUGGGAAGCCCCUGGCCCAGGAACUGUGGGAAAGGCAGGAAGCAGAAAGGUCACGGUCCCAGGGGGAAAUCCCACAGUUGACAGGCCCAGCUUCAGAGAACCUGCUUUCCUGAUGACCACAGUGACCCGGUUUUGAAGUAGUCAGCUCUUGCUGAAAUGUCACACGGGUGGUGGAUCACGGGGCAGUCGGUCUCCCCCAUGUCCCUUCCUUCGUUCUGAACAAAGCAUUUCUGUGGUGCACAGAUGUCCACCAGACUUCAGUGCACUUCAACCUUAUUUUAAUCUUAAAAAAUAACUAAUAUGUACAUACAUUUAUUGUCAGGAAGCAGAGAGCUGGGUGCACAUGAGGAAAUAAAAGAAAGCCGAGGGUUUGUGGAAUCCCAGGAAGAUUCCCUACAAUCAGGGACGUCGCUGAAGGAGAGCCAGUGCUUACCCCUUCCACUCUGGGGAUGACCACAGUGUCCAUCCCUACAGGACCCUGUCCACAGGCCAGAAGGCUUCUGACCCCGCAGGACCUGGCAGAGGGAGUGACAGGUCUGUGUAGCCCGGUCCCACUCAGGAAAUGCAACUCAAGGGGCCAAGUUCUUGACAUUAUGUGACCUGAAACUCCAUACUUUUGUUCAGUGGGAAAGAUGGUUUUGGGUCCCAUGGAGGAGCGGACAGCGUCACAGAGGCCAGUCACAGAAAUCAGGAGUGCCAGAGGUGAGGGGGCAUUGGGGGAGACCUCAGGCUGUCUAUACUGCCUGCCUCCCUGGGGACAGAAGAAACCUCCAGGCAUCAGUGGGGACACGGCUUCAGGUUUUCAUUUCCUCGUGGGCUGCUGGCCCCAUGUGAAUGUCUGUGGCAGCAGAAGGAGCCAAAUGCUCCUCUGUCUUCCCCAGCUGCAGGCCCCUUCUUCCUCCUCCACCCUCUGCUGCCCUUCCCCAGUCUGGGGGGAAGGUCAGUGUUGAGUUCCCAUUUCAAAGGCCCAAACAGAGGCUGCAGGGCUUAAAGCCAGGCACCCAGUUAACAUGGAGGGCAAGGUACAGGGGAUGCUGACCGUCCCCCACCCUCCUGCAGGGCUCAUCAUUUCUUCGCCUUCCCUGUGGUUGGCAGGGCGAGGGGUGCCCCUGUCAGGGUGGUGCCAAGCAGAAAACAGGAGGAUCAGUGCCAAGAGGGUCAAGGGCAAGUCUGAGCUCAUGACCCUGGCCUGGUCCCUGCCCACUUCCUGGCUUCUGCUGCCGCCCCUCAGUCUUGUGCCUGUGGCCACACCCAGCUCUCUACCUUGUCUAGCACCACUCUGCUCCGUCAUUAGGGCCUCAGCUCAAAGGUCACCUAUUCCAAGAGGCCUUUGCUGACCACAGCAGACAGAGUCCUGCUCUGAUGACCCUGUUGCAUCUCCGCCACUGUCUGGUAUGUGCCCUGUGGCUGGCCGUGUGCGUGUCCGUCCUGGACCCCUGCCUCUGUCUCCCUUCCCUCCAUGAUCCCAACGCCUGGUCUGGCUCCCCUCGUGUCUCCAGAGCCAGGUGCCCUGCUCACUCUGGCUGUGGUGAAUGGACGCCAGGCCACUCUGGUGCUCCAGUGUGUCCUGCUGUGCCCACCUUGGUCACACCUUUGCUCCUGUCUGGGUCACCUAUGUGUUUGGUUGUGCAUCUUCUUGAACACCACUGUGGGUUCAGGUUGGGCACCUCCAGUGGACAAGAUGGCAGGAGGGGAGCUGGCGGCUGGGCCCAGGGACUCCUCCAGCUCUUCUGCAGACCCUUUUUCCUUCCCGGGAGGCCGCCUCUCCCCUGAGGUCACCUAUCCCAGGCGCCCUCCUCUAGCACACUCUCUGUGACUAGAUGGCCCGAGAGGCCAUUUCCCUCCAGGCUCAAUGAGUGGAGGCAAACCUACGGUGACAAGAGAUUGGGGCUGUAGCCGAGGCUUGAGGACCUUGGGAUCCACUUUGCUGCCGACACCUCUUCCCUUGCUCUCAGAAGACGAGGCCUGGGGGUGGCUCAGGAAAUGAGCAAGGAGAAGCAGGGCUGGCUGGGGGCCAUGCUGGGGCCAGCUCCAGACAGGACGGGGGCCCCUGCGGCUGACAAGGGUGGAAGCCAGGGCUCACCAGGACAUGUGGCCCACCCAGGUGAGACACUGGGCGGGGGAGGGAGGCAGGGCGGUGGCCUCCUGCCCAUCGGGUCCCCGCGCUGGUCAAGGUCCUAUGAUUGCAGCUGAGGUGGCCGCAGCUCCUCCCUGGGCCUUCCCCUCAUCCCAGACUCUCACCUGGGCUGGCAGUGGCGGGGGCUGGGAAAGAGGCAGGUGACAAUCCCCCUGAGAGGUGACAGCCUGGGGCGGGAGCCACCAGCGCGCCACCUGAGAGUGGGUGAGGAGCAGGUUAGCUGGGUGAAAAGUUCAGCGCCAGGGCAGCUGUCUGUUUCCCCGCGAAUUCACCCACUAUUUGGCUAACCUUGCUCUGAACCCAGGCCCGAGACCCCUCUCCGCUCCCCCCGCCUCCCCGCUGGGCGCCCCGGCUGCCACCCGCCUCCUGCCGCCCGCGCCGCCAGGCUGGGGACACGCUGGCCUUGAGAGGCCUGGGCCGAGGGCGCCUGGGGGAG
rnacentral:lncRNA from 1 species